AAUAACCAAUCGUUACCAGCGAGCAGCUGAUACGAGUACGAAAAUACUUUAAUGCAAACUGACCAUAGUUCGCAGAAACGUCUGAUCUCUUGACCAGUCCUGAUUGCAUUCCUCACAAAAAAUGUAUAACAAACGUAUUCCUCUUUCAUUGUUGUUUCUUUCCUUGUUUGUCAUUCUUCUCUUGAACACCAGCAGCAUCCAUGGACAAUUCCUGACUGUGAUUCAAGUUCCUUUUAAUUUUGGUGGCUGUAAGGAAGGUUUCAAGUAUAUCAAUGGACGUUGCCGCAAAGUUGAAACUUAUAGAACAGCGGAGAGAUAGUGAUAAAUAUCUAAAAUCCAAAUUACACUCAAUCUAAAUCAACGAUUUCUUUUGUCCUUAAAAACGCACUAUUCAAAUGAAUUACAAACGCAAAUAAACACAUGUUUUGUCUUUUUU